rnacentral:rRNA from 1 species
AUGGUUAGUUGGCCGGACAUUUGUAAACCCAAAGACCAGGGGGGUCUUGGGAUUCUGUCCUCCCGUCGCAUGAACAUCGCCCUCCUGACCCGGUGGUUGUGGCGUAUUGCCAAUGGAGACGGAGGGUUGUGGAUCACCAUUAUCCGCAACAAAUACCUCCAUGGACAGCCUCUGGCUUUCUGUCAGCGUUCGGGCGGAUCACAGUUUUGGUAG